ACGGGGGGUGCAAGCGUUAAUCGGAAUAACUGGGCGUAAAGCGUACGCAGGCGGUCGGAUAAGUCAGAUGUGAAAGCCCCGGGCUUAACCUGGGAACUGCAUUUGAAACUGUUCGACUAGAGUCUUGUAGAGGGGGGUAGAAUUCCAGGUGUAGCGGUGAAAUGCGUAGAGAUCUGGAGGAAUACCGGUGGCGAAGGCGGCCCCCUGGACAAAGACUGACGCUCAGGUGCGAAAGCGUGGGGAGCAAACAG
rnacentral:rRNA from 1 species